UUCCGGUUGAUCCUGCCGGAAGCCAUUGCUCUUGGGGCCCGAUUUAGCCAUGCUAGUCGCACGGGUUCAGACCCGUGGCAAAUAGCUCAGUAGCACGUGGCCAAUCUACCCUCUGGAACGGCAUACCCUCGGGAAACUGAGGUUAAUUCCGUACACCGCUCUCAACCUGGAAUGGUGGGAGCUCGAAACGCUCCGGCGCCGGAGGAUGAGGCUGCGGCCGAUUAGGUUGACGGUGGGGUAAUGGCCCACCGUGCCGAUAAUCGGUCUGGGUCAUGAGAGUGAGAACCCAGAGACGGACUCUGAGACAAGAUUCCGGGCCCUACGGGGCGCAGCAGGCGCGAAACCUUUACACUGCACGCCAGUGCGAUAAGGGGACCCCAAGUGCGCAGGCAUAGUGCCUGCGCUUUUCUGGAYUGUAGGGCGGUCCAGGAACAAGGGCUGGGCAAGACCGGUGCCAGCCGCCGCGGUAAUACCGGCAACCCAAGUGAUGGCCGCUGUUAUUGGGCCUAAAGCGUCCGUAGCUGGCCGCACGAGUCCGUCGGGAAAUCCGCCCGCUCAACGGGCGGCCGUCCGGCGGAACCUGUGUGGCUUGGGACCGGGAGGCCUGAGGGGUACGAUCGGGGUAGGAGUGAAAUCCUGUAAUCCCGCUCGGACCGCCGAUGGGGAAACCACCUCAGGAGAACGGAUCCGACAGUGAGGGACGAAAGCCAGGGUCUCGAACCGGAUUAGAUACCCGGGUAGUCCUGGCCGUAAACGAUGCUUGUUAGGUGUGACUCCCACUACGAGUGGGUGUUGUGCCGUAGGGAAGCCGCUAAACAAGCCGCCUGGGAAGUACGUCUGCAAGGAUGAAACUUAAAGGAAUUGGCGGGGGAGCACUACAACCGGAGGAGCCUGCGGUUUAAUUGGAUUCAACGCCGGG
rnacentral:rRNA from 1 species